AUUGAACGCUGGCGGCAGGCUUAACACAUGCAAGUCGAACGGUAACAUAAAGAAGCUUGCUUCUUUGAUGACGAGUGGCGGACGGGUGAGUAAUGCUUGGGAAUCUAGCUUAUGGAGGGGGAUAACUACGGGAAACUGUAGCUAAUACCGCGUAAUAUCGAAAGAUUAAAGUGUGGGACCUUCGGGCCACAUGCCAUAAGAUGAGCCCAAGUGGGAUUAGGUAGUUGGUGAGGUAAAGGCUCACCAAGCCGACGAUCUCUAGCUGGUCUGAGAGGAUGACCAGCCACACUGGGACUGAGACACGGCCCAGGCUCCUACGGGAGGCAGCAGUGGGGAAUAUUGCGCGAUGGGGGCAACCCUGACGCAGCCAUGCCGCGUGAAUGAAGAAGGCCUUCGGGUUGUAAAGUUCUUUCGGUAGCGAGGAAGGCAUUUAGUUUAAUAGACUAGGGAUGACGUAACUACAGA
rnacentral:rRNA from 1 species